GCUGAAGCUCCAGCUUGCUGGGGUGGAUGAGUGGCGAACGGGUGAGUAAUACGUGAGUAACCUGCCCUUGACUCUGGGAUAAGCCUGGGAAACCGGGUCUAAUACUGGAUACGACUCCUCAUCGCAUGGUGGGGUGUGGAAAGGGUUUUACUGGUUUUGGAUGGGCUCACGGCCUAUCAGCUUGUUGGUGGGGUAAUGGCCUACCAAGGCGACGACGGGUAGCCGGCCUGAGAGGGUGACCGGCCACACUGGGACUGAGACACGGCCCAGACUCCUACGGGAGGCAGCAGUGGGGAAUAUUGCACAAUGGGCGCAAGCCUGAUGCAGCGACGCCGCGUGAGGGAUGACGGCCUUCGGGUUGUAAACCUCUUUCAGCAGGGAAGAAGCCACAAGUGACGGUACCUGCAGAAGAAGCGCCGGCUAACUACGUGCCAGCAGCCGCGGUAAUACGUAGGGCGCAAGCGUUGUCCGGAAUUAUUGGGCGUAAAGAGCUCGUAGGCGGUUUGUCGCGUCUGCUGUGAAAGCCCGGGGCUCAACCCCGGGUCUGCAGUGGGUACGGGCAGACUAGAGUGCAGUAGGGGAGACUGGAAUUCCUGGUGUAGCGGUGAAAUGCGCAGAUAUCAGGAGGAACACCGAUGGCGAAGGCAGGUCUCUGGGCUGUUACUGACGCUGAGGAGCGAAAGCAUGGGGAGCGAACAGGAUUAGAU
rnacentral:rRNA from 1 species